rnacentral:tmRNA from 1 species
GGGGGCGUAAAGGUUUCGACGGGGAUUUUGAAGCAAAAUAAGCGAGUGGAGCUGCGACGUAAUCUCCUUAAAAUGCGUCACGUUUAAAUAUAAACGCAAGAAAUAAUAUUACAGUUACUAGAAAUAGUGCACUGGUAGCAGCUUAAGUCUGCUUCUGUCCUCCAUCAGAGUACCGUGGCUUUUGGCAGGGCAUCGAUUAACGGUGAACGAUUCUCAGGUGUGUCCGUACCUCUGAGUUGUAUUCGGACUACUUGUUCUUUCAGCCCGUUUACCGGCGGUCUGAAUAAGGAAUUUUAAUCGGUAAACUAUACUCGUAGAAAGUUUUGUGGAUAGAUUUUCGGACAGGGGUUCAAUUCCCCUCGCCUCCACCA